rnacentral:rRNA from 1 species
GACGAACGCUGGCGGCGUGCUUAACACAUGCCAGUCGAACGGAAAGGCCCUGCUUUUGUGGGGUGCUCGAGUGGCGAACGGGUGAGUAACACGUGAGUAACCUGCCCUUGACUUUGGGAUAACUUCAGGAAACUGGGGCUAAUACCGGAUAGGAGCUCCUGCUGCAUGGUGGGGGUUGGAAAGUUUCGGCGGUUGGGGAUGGACUCGCGGCUUAUCAGCUUGUUGGUGGGGUAGUGGCUUACCCAGGCUUUGACGGGUAGCCGGCCUGCGAGGGUGACCGGCCACAUUGGGACUGAGAUACGGCCCAGACUCCUACGGGAGGCAGCAGUGGGGAAUAUUGCACAAUGGGCGGAAGCCUGAUGCAGCAACGCCGCGUGCGGGAUGACGGCCUUCGGGUUGUAAACCGCUUUCGCCUGUGACGAAGCGUGAGUGACGGUAAUGGGUAAAGAAGCACCGGCUAACUACGUG